GUGGAUUAGAUACCCUGGUAGUCCACGCCCUAAACGAUGUCAACUAGGUGUUGGGGAAGGAGACUUCUUUAGUACCGCAGCUAACGCGUUAAGUUGACCGCCUGGGGAGUACGGUCGCAAGAUUAAAACUCAAAGGAAUUGACGGGGACCCGCACAAGCGGUGGAUUAUGUGGAUUAAUUCGAUGCAACGCGAAAAACCUUACCUACCCUUGACAUGCCGAGAAUCCCGAAGAGAUUUGGGAGUGCCCGAAAGGGAACUUGGACACAGGUGCUGCAUGGUUGUCGUCAGCU
rnacentral:rRNA from 1 species